AUGACUUUUGCUAUCUAUGAUGGUUCGGGAGUAAUUGAAGCAAGCAGUAGUCAUAGUGCUGGUGAGCUGGAGUCAAUAGCGAGGAGAGCUUAUGGACAAUCCAUUAGGAUUCCGGCGGCUUUUGCCACUUAUGAUCCGUGUUCACAAGAGCGAGACGGUUCAAUGUCUUACAAUGUUCAAGCAGCAUUCUUGCCGGAAUGA
rnacentral:lncRNA from 1 species